rnacentral:rRNA from 1 species
GACGAACGCUGGCGGCGCGCCUAACACAUGCAAGUCGAACGAGAGAUGAGGAGCUUGCUCUUCAAAUCGAGUGGCGAACGGGUGAGUAACGCGUGAGGAACCUGCCUCAAAGAGGGGGACAACAGUUGGAAACGACUGCUAAUACCGCAUAAGCCCACGGCUCGGCAUCGAGCAGAGGGAAAAGGUGUGAUCCGCUUUGAGAUGGCCUCGCGUCCGAUUAGCUAGUUGGUGAGGUAACGGCCCACCAAGGCGACGAUCGGUAGCCGGACUGAGAGGUUGAACGGCCACAUUGGGACUGAGACACGGCCCAGACUCCUACGGGAGGCAGCAGUGGGGAAUAUUGCACAAUGGGGGAAACCCUGAUGCAGCGACGCCGCGUGGAGGAAGAAGGUCUUCGGAUUGUAAACUCCUGUUGUUGAGGAAGAUAAUGACGGUACUCAACAAGGAAGUGACGGCUAACUACGUGCCAGCAGCCGCGGUAAAACGUAGGUCACAAGCGUUGUCCGGAAUUACUGGGUGUAAAGGGAGCGCAGGCGGGAGAACAAGUUGGAAGUGAAAUCCAUGGGCUCAACCCAUGAACUGCUUUCAAAACUGUUUUUCUUGAGUAGUGCAGAGGUAGGCGGAAUUCCCGGUGUAGCGGUGGAAUGCGUAGAUAUCGGGAGGAACACCAGUGGCGAAGGCGGCCUACUGGGCACCAACUGACGCUGAGGCUCGAAAGUGUGGGUAGCAAACAGGAUUAGAUACCCUGGUAGUCCACACCGUAAACGAUGAUUACUAGGUGUUGGAGGAUUGACCCCUUCAGUGCCGCAGUUAACACAAUAAGUAAUCCACCUGGGGAGUACGACCGCAAGGUUGAAACUCAAAGGAAUUGACGGGGGCCCGCACAAGCAGUGGAGUAUGUGGUUUAAUUCGACGCAACGCGAAGAACCUUACCAAGUCUUGACAUCCUGCGACGCACAUAGAAAUAUGUGUUUCCUUCGGGACGCAGAGACAGGUGGUGCAUGGUUGUCGUCAGCUCGUGUCGUGAGAUGUUGGGUUAAGUCCCGCAACGAGCGCAACCCUUAUGGUCAGUUACUACGCAAGAGGACUCUGGCCAGACUGCCGUUGACAAAACGGAGGAAGGUGGGGAUGACGUCAAAUCAUCAUGCCCUUUAUGACUUGGGCUACACACGUACUACAAUGGCGUUAAACAAAGAGAAGCAAGACCGCGAGGUGGAGCAAAACUCAGAAACAACGUCCCAGUUCGGACUGCAGGCUGCAACUCGCCUGCACGAAGUCGGAAUUGCUAGUAAUCGUGGAUCAGCAUGCCACGGUGAAUACGUUCCAAGGCCU